rnacentral:rRNA from 1 species
AUUGAACGCUGGCGGCAUGCCUUACACAUGCAAGUCGAACGGCAGCACGGGUGCUUGCACCUGGUGGCGAGUGGCGAACGGGUGAGUAAUACAUCGGAACGUACCUUAUCGUGGGGGAUAACGCAGCGAAAGCUGUGCUAAUACCGCAUAGGCCCUGAGGGGGAAAGCGGGGGAUCGAAAGACCUCGCGCGAUUAGAGCGGCCGAUGCCUGAUUAGCUUGUUGGUGGGGCAAAAGCCCACCAAGGCGACGAUCAGUAGCUGGUCUGAGAGGACGAUCAGCCACACUGGGACUGAGACACGGCCCAGACUCCUACGGGAGGCAGCAGUGGGGAAUUUUGGACAAUGGGGGCAACCCUGAUCCAGCAAUGCCGCGUGAGUGAAGAAGGCCUUCGGGUUGUAAAGCUCUUUUGUCAGGGAAGAAACACCGGCUCUAACACAGUCCGGGAAUGACGGUACCUGAAGAAUAAGCACCGGCUAACUACGUGCCAGCCGCCGCCGUAA